GAUCAUGGCUCAGGACGAACGCUGGCGGCGUGCCUAAUACAUGCAAGUCGAGCGGAGUUUAGUUGAGUACUUGUACGAGACUGGACUUAGCGGCGGACGGGUGAGUAACGCGUGAGCGACCUGGCCUAUACAGGGGGGUAACAGGGAGAAAUUCCUGCUAAUACCGCAUAAGACCACAGUACUGCAUGGUACAGGGGUCAAAGGAGAGAUCCGGUAUAGGAUGGGCUCGCGUCCCAUUAG
rnacentral:rRNA from 1 species